rnacentral:lncRNA from 1 species
AGGGGGAAGGGGGGGGGGCUGGGCCUUGCCCAGCGCGCCCCGCGGCGGGGAGGGGCCGGGGCUGUGCUUGACAGCGACGUCGCUGGCCCGAGAGCGGGGCCGCGCUCGGGGUUCCCCUGAGGCCCCCUCCGCCCGGACCGUCCUCCUGAGGCUGCCCGGCGCCACGGGGUAGGGGGCGCGGAGCCGCUCCCUGCCUCGGCUUCGACGGGAAGGAUUUGAAGAUGUCAAAAAAGAAAUUGAAGAAAUUAACUGGCAAGGAAGACUGUUUGGAUGGCCGAGAUGACAAAAGCUCUGAAGACACAAGAUCUUAUAACCAUGCUAUGAAAGGAGAGACAGAAUUUCAAAGAUUCAAAAUAGAAAAAGAUGGGCAAGAGAAGAAGCAAGACCAAAGUUCUAAUAUUUCUCAUGGUGCUGAUGGAAGAUCCCAAGAAAAAUCCCCAAAUAGAAGCAAAACCACAGACAAGUCUUUAAUCCAAACUGAAAAGCAAAAGAAAAUAGUUAUCCAAUUUAAAGCCAAAGAAAUUAAACACGGAAAAAGUACACGGACUCCUGAUGUAGUGGCUACUAGCAGGAAAAGUUAUCACAAAAGUAAUUUUGAUGGAACAGAAGGAAAAAGAGUCUGGCAUAGCUUUGCAAUUCAGAGGGACAAGGCUCUAAAGAAAAAGACAGAGAAAGCUGAACUCCGCAAACUAAAGUUAAAAGUGGAACAAACUAUGUUGGAAAAACUUAAGUCCUCUGAGUUCAACUCACGUGUACCACAUAAAAAGGGAGAUGGAUCAAAAAACCAGAGUGAAGAUGUCAGAAUUCCGAAAAAGCCAUCUGACACCUCUACAGGGACUGUGCGUGAUGAUAGGCCUUUCACUAAGAAGCCAAAUACGUUAUCUAGGACUUGGGAAGAAGAUUAUGAAGAAGAAUAUAAGGAGUUUUCUAAGAGAAAAUGGCAUAUGAAUAAACACACACCAUCCCACCGUUCAACUGAAACACCACAGCAAUGGGACUCUCGUAAACGGGAGAAACGGGAAGCUGAUUCUGAUAAAGCUACUGCUAAUUCAAGGACUGAAGAAAGGGCCUUUGGAGCCACACCAUUAUGUUUUAAGCAGGUAAUGAGAACCCAAUUCUUUGUAUUAUGCAGGUAGAUAUUUCAGGUUAGUUUCUGGAUGGCCAGCAGUGUUUCUGUAAGCAGACUAUCUUCUUACAGAUUUCAAAC